GUCCUUUUAUGACAUUUGAAGGAUAGUAUGUAUCAUUUACAAAUGACAAUUAUCCUUCUUUACCUAUAUCAUGCUCAUUCUUUCAUUUCUUCUCUACUCAAUUAUUAUGUAUCUUACUUUGCAUUUCUUCAGAUACAUCUGUGAGUACUACUAAUGAAGGUCAAGGCACUUGCAGAACUCUUGCAACUAAAUGACUGGAAAAAAUUAUUAAUUCAGGUCAAAGAAGAGAAACAAAUUAUUCAAAUGAAGGAAAAAGAACAAACUUUAUUACAGGCCCAAGCAGGCUAAGCAGAACUUCCGCCGUGGAAAUUAAGACACAGCUGACUGGAGAAGAUGAUGUGUAUGAUGUGUACCCAGCUCUAAGAAGACCCUUACCUUAGGAACUAGUAAAGAGACAACAGAAUUUAUCCCUGCUACAACCAUUACUUCUGCCACAAAUCUAGCUCUCCAGUUCUCACCAUCAAACUUCAUGGAAACAUAACUAUUGGGGAAGAAAAGGAGUCAAAACUGAGAGUCACUGACACCAUUAUUGUAAACAGGGGAAUGAACUUGGAAAGGCUACUCCCAUGCACACAGGUAAGGGGGCCUUGAACGUGUUAAUUCAUAGAGAACUGAGGUAGUGAACUAUCAGCCCUUCCUGGGCACUUGCUGAACUGCAGAAUCCUCAGGACUACCCUUCCACUACUUUUUCUGCUUGAUGAAAGAAAUCAUGUGUAUAUGCAGUUUGAGGGUGUAAGUGAUAAAAGAGACUAAUGACCUCUAAUCCAUUUUAAGGGGAUUUUAGAUCCAGAAGUGGUUAAGUAAAAAAUGUCUCUAGAAAAUUAUAUAGGAGAAUAUUAACCUGACAACGAGUAAAGAUACUUAAUCUUAAAAAGUGCUAACCAUGAAGAGUGCUAUGUUGUAUCACAGUAAUUAAAAUAUGUACAUGAAACACACACAUAUAUGAAAAG
rnacentral:lncRNA from 1 species